AUUGAACGCUGGCGGCAGGCCUAACACAUGCAAGUCGAGCGGAGCGGCGAACGGGUGAGUAAUGCAUAGGAACCUGCCCAGUAGUGGGGGAUAACGACGGGAAAGGGGAGCUAAUACCGCAUACUAUUAGUAGAGCCUAGGUCGGAUUAGCUAGUUGGUGGGGUAAAGGCUUACCAGGGCGACGAUCCGUAACUGGUCUGAGAGGAUGACCAGCCACAUUGGAACUGAGCCACGGUCCAGACUCCUACGGGAGGCAGCAGUGGGGAAUAUUGGACAAUGGGCGAAACCCUGAUCCAGCCAUCCCGCGUGUGUGAGGAAGGUCUUCGGGUUGUAAAGCACUUUUAGUUGGAAGGCGUUACCUACAGAAUAAGCACCGGCUAACUUCGUGCCAGCAGCCGCGGUAAUAC
rnacentral:rRNA from 1 species